CGCCCCACUCCGCUGCGCCGUGUUAUAAAAAUAACGAACCCUUCAGCUCACACACAGUUAGCUUGAUGUGCAGACUGCACCGAAGGAGCAAUACACUCGACAAUGGGGGUGAAAGUAAAAGUCGAAUAUUGGUAAAUACAUGCAUUAUUUUACAUAUAUGUCCUUUUGUGUGUUUCUAACCAACAUGUAUGAGUUUUACGUCUUCUUGUUCGCGCAAAAUUCAAUUCACGAGUGUUCAAUAGCUAACGUUAGCAGUGUUAGCUUUCAGCGAGACUAACGACAGCCUGGUAACAGCUUGUGUUUUUAUGUUUUAAAUGUAUGCAUUGUGUCCAUGCAGUGGUGGAUGAGGGUACGAACCCCGCUAUCGGGAGCUCGCCAAGUCAAUUACGGAUGAGUUUCCUGAGGCGGAGGUGUCGGGCUUUGUGGGAAGACAAGGCAAGUACCGUUAAAGCGAGGAGAUGAAGCAUUUCUGUGACCCAUAGUCUACUAGUGUUUGUCUGUCUUUCGACAAGGGAGGAGUGUGGAGAUGUGAUUUGUGUAUUCUUUGUUUUGCAGGCAGCUUUGAGAUUGAAAUCAACGACCAGUUGGUUUUCUCCAAGCUUCAGCUGGGUGGCUUCCCAUACGAAGAUGAUGUGAGUAACCACACACACACUCCCACGACUGACGUUCAUGUUUUUUAACUUUUAUGUUACCAAUUUGAAGCCGUUCCUCUGAUCCACCUGUCUCGUAUAUCCCUUGAAGGGAUAUUCCGGCGUAAAAUUAAGUUAGUGUCAAACGCACUGGAACACUGAGUUAGACACCCCCUCGAAGGAUGAAUGUUGCCGACCGCUUACUUCUUUAGUUAUACCAACUCUAGUAACAACCGCACGAUAGCAAUACACAGUGGUCUGUGGAGCCACACGCUUAACCAAAAAGCCGCUCUGUAGCCACAAAUAAUGCUCAGAACAGCACCUAACUUCAUCAACAGUACAUAUAGGGUCCCAGCCAUAGUACUAGCCACCAAACAUCUUUUUAGCUUUGCCUGAUUUCUUUAGCAAAGAGACUAAACACAACUUACCCACUCUCCUCCAGAAGCCGCUUGUUUGUAGCGAGACCUCACGACUGCAGCGGGGGGACACAACUCAAGGAAGAACAUCUAUGAUCAUUUCUUCAUGGAAAUGCAAUCGGACCGAGACGCUUAGGCAGAAGAACUAGGGCGUCUGCAGUGCAAAAUGAUUUAAUAUGGUGAUUAUUACUUCAAGGAAAUGAUAAAGAAAUUAUCAUAAAUGUUCUUCCUUGAGCUGUGUCACCCCACUGUAGUCCAUAAUGGACUCGCCUGAGGUCUCCAUACAAACAAGUGGCUGCUAGAAGAGAGUAGGUGAGUUGUGUUUAGUCUCUUUGCUAAAGAAAUCAGGCAAAGUUAAAAUGAUGGUGUUUGUUGACCCGUGGCUCUCAGCCAUAGCAGGGUGCAUGUGGCUCUCUGUAUUGCUAUCUGCGGUCGUUACUAAAGUUGGUAUAAUUAGAGAAGCAAGCAGUCGGCAACAUUCAUCUUUCGAUGGGGUGUCUAACUCAGUGUUACGGUGUGUUUGACCCUAAUUUAAUUUUAUGCCGGAAUAUCCCUUUAAUCUAUCAUAGUGACUGAUUCAGUAAUCAGGUGGACACUGCAGGUCAGCAGGCUGAAGCCAGCAUGGCUCAAAGUACCUUAAGUCUUCCACAGAUUUGAGUUGUGUUUUUUUAGUCAUAAUGCUUUGCGACUGCAUUUUUGAAGGUGUUGUUUGACAACAUUAUGAUAAUAAUCAUGCCUGAUUUUUCUUUUGUGUCAUAGAUAAGACGUGUAAUGGAGGAUGCCUGUGACGGGAAACCGGUGCAGAGCAUCACCAAAAGCAGAGCGCCGUGUGUCAUUCUGUAAGCCUGCUUUACCAUCAGCAGCAUCAACAUAGGCCAGUGCAACCAUACACUGCCAGCAGCACCUUUGGACUUCCACCAUCCUUUGAAAUGGGCAGGAAUAGAAACCACAACAGAGACACUUGGCUGCUUUCUCUGAUGCAGAUCAUCAACCUCCUCUUGGCCUUCUGGCUCCCUUCUCUGUCCUUGCUGUGGACUUCCAGGCUGUUAAUGAUUAUCCUAGCCUAAAAUUUGAGGUUAGGGUAUGAUGAAUUCAUUCCUGGAGCGUCCUACUUUGAAAAGACUGAGACUGGGAGAAGAUGUCACAGAGGGGAUUUAAGGAGCUUGCUUUAAUUCUCAAACAACCUCAUUGCCUGGAAUUUUCUGACUGUCUUUUUACUAUACAUGCAGUUAUUGGUUACCUCUCUAUGCACAUGGGCCAUGCAAACAUACAUCUAAGCUUGAAAGGAAACUCUUUCUCCCUGCACUGUAAAUCUGUGCUGAACCCUAUUUUCUCUACGUUUGCAGACAUCACUGUACAGUUGUGGAAUGUGAAGCAGUUUUGAACAAUUAGCUGAUGGUAAAAUUAGUGUUGUAAUAUUCUGAAAUACUCCAAAUUAAAUGAUAAAAGCUCUUUUGUAAUUUCAAAUGGUUCCACAGCGAUCAUCAGAAGUGCUUCUGAAGACCACCAUCCACUGGUUUGUCAGCUUACACUUUUUAGAUGCCGCCUCGUUUUCCACAAAUUCUCCUGCACUUUUUCCUUAAAUGUCAAAACUGUAAACUUAAAAUUAAAGUACAGUUUGUUUAAAUACC